GGUCCUGCAGCAGGUUCCACCCUCUUGCGGGCGAGCUCUGGCUACCAUUGGACUGUCCGGCGCGAGGGGAAGGGUGAUCUAUAAAUAGAGAAUGGGUACACGUGACAGUUUGGCAGCUGCUCCUACCCCUCCACCCCGCCCAACCUUCAGCUUCUGAGGCUGCGCAGGGGGAGAAAAGGGUUAGGGGGUCGAGCCCUGACUUCGCCUCCUCUUCCAAGAAGCCUUCCUAGACACUCAGCUGUAAAACCAGACGGACGUCCUCCGAUAAAAUUGUUUCUACUUAGGGCCGGCUUCACCGGCUUGGAAUCCACUUAGAAGGGUCUUCGCGCUUGGUUGAAUGUUCUGCAAUUUCUGUCUUGAAAUUUUUAGUUUUUGAGCAAGGGGCCCCUUAUUUUCACUUUGCACUAGGCCAAAUAUGUAGCCGGUCUUGCUGCUAAGAGUCUAAGAUCGAUUGCAUUCCAAAUUCUGGAAUUAUAAGACCCUGGGUGGAAGAUUCUAUGCUUUGACCAGAAGAGAGUCUAAGCAGCUUUUGUCUCCCAGGUGCUAGGAGGAUGUGUGCUCAUCAUUCUUCCAUUCCAGGGGCCUUUGUUCUACGUUCUAAGGGGCUUUGUUCUCAGCCUUCUAUGAUGCUCUAUUCUCAACGUUCUCUGGUCCUAGGAGUCUGAGCCUGACAUUCGUUUCCAAGGCUUCCUGCUGUCUCUCCAGGCUCCGCAAGCAGGGCUGGGGCACCCUCAGGCGGCCAAUCUGUAUCACUACGCCGAGCCUGCCUCUACCAACUUCCAAGACCUAGCUCUAAUAUUCACACUCAUCUCUCAGACAGACCUUGGCUCCCUAAAAGCCAAGGCCCAGAAGAUCAUACAAGAAAUUCCCUCUUUUAUGAUUCCCCGUGCACGAAGUGACCUUCUGGUGGUGAGAUGGAGAGAAAUUGAUAGUGGCGAUAGACAGCAAAGUCUCCAGGAGCCAGACUUCCUCGGGGUGAAUCACAGAUCUGUCACUUUCCAGCUGUGUGACCUUGGAAAACUUACUUAACCUCUCUGUGCCACCAUUUCUUCAUCUGAUCACGGGAUCAUAAUACUGGCUGCCUCACAGAGUUGUUCUGAGGAUUAAAUGAAAUGUAUCAGGUACUUGGAGCAGUGUCUUCCAUGGAUCAAGAGCCACAGAAGGGUUUGACAAAUAAGUUUAAAAACUAAUCUAAAACUUGGGGCAUGUGUGGAGUGUGAGUGAGUGAGCUGCUGGAAUGAAUUGACCAGACAGGACAUCAUCUAUGUAUGGGAUUAGAAUGGAAUUACGGGAGAAAACCAAAUCCCUCAAAUUAGCAUUCAGGAUCGGAAAAAAAAGCUAUGUUGCCCAAACUGGACUCGAACUCCUGGACUCCAGCGAUCCUCCCACCUCAGCCGCUUAAGUAGCUGGGAAUACAGUCACCCGCCACCAUGCCCAGCUUUCAGGGCCCAUGCUCUUAGACCACCACCAAGACCUUGUCUUGUCCUGCACCGAGCAACCUCCGCGUCACCCUGCUCCACCUGCUCCAUGAAGCCGCACCCUCCAGAGAGGACCCUUCCCCUUUCCACCCUUCGCGGACCACUCAAUGAGCUACCCUGCACCUGACCCCUUCUGUCCAAGUCAUCACAGUAUUCCCAGAGCUGGAACACUCAAUGCCUGGCACAUCGUGGGCACUCAACAUGUUGAAUCAAUGGUUACAAAUACAUGAAUGUACUUGUUGAAUAAAUGGUUAUAAAUAAAUGAAUGAAUGAUC